rnacentral:misc_RNA from 1 species
UUAAACUUUCAAGGAGAGUUAUUUCACCUAAAGAAGAGUUUAAGAAACGAAGAGCAAUUAUACUGAAACGCCUUUUUUUUUAUUCUUGAUUCUAAAAUGACAAUUCUUCUAGUUUAUUAAAUUCUUCAAUUCUUGUUGAUUUACAAUCGGAAAUUUUCUACUAUAUGAAGAUGAGCCAAAACAAAGACACCCGGACGUGUCUAAGCUUGUUGAGGCGGAACUUCAGUCGCGUCAGCGAGUAUUGUGAACAAUACCAGGAAAUACUCGAUUUAUAGCUGAAUUGUAGUGAUAAAACACAACAUUCAACUGAAGAACGUCCUGAAGCUAAGAGAGUGAUUCCUUUCAAGGAUUAUGGCAUCCAGAGAAGUGCCAAACGAACUGAUACCGCAAUUGCUGUCAGUCGGUGAUUUUAUUGGAGCAAAUUUUGAUGCGACAGCUAAUAAAACAGAAAUUACUGAAGCCGGAAGAUUAGCUCGUUCGAUUGGCGACCGGUUAUCUAGCCAACCAACAGUCGAGUACCAUCAAGAAGACAGAGCAGAGAGAUCUGGCAUCGUAACAAGAUGGCUCAGUCAAUUCAAGAAUGUCGUCGGGACGACUUUAGACUGGCUGGAACAUUCUGGACAAAUGAAUGCUAAAAAACAAGAACAAGUCCUAAGGGGAUUAUAUAAUUUAACAGUGCUGGCCAACCAAGGGCAUCUCUUUGCUAUCAUGGAAGUGGCCCAUUCCUGUUUGACCACAGAUGAAGAUCCCUUUCCAGGCCAACGUCAUUACAUUGUCCAGUGCCUCGAAGAUGUCAAAGCUCAUCAGGAACAAAUCGGAGUGUUAGUAGAGCAGGCCAGCGAUAUCCUCAAGGAAAUCCUGGAACACGAAGGAGUGGAUUAUUCAAAGGGAAGGAAGUUUGACAACGUUGUUAGAGAAGCACGGGUGCAGAUCGAAUCCUGUAAACGUCGUCUGAAGGGCGCAGAAGAGGCUAUUUUCGCACUCUCUCAAAAAAUGAGUACCGUGAGAUGGGCCUCCCGUAGUUUACACGCAACAGGUUGGAUGUUUUCGGCGUAUAUAUUCUACAAGCGGUAUCAGGAAUCUGGUCAGUCGUCACUAGAUUUGCUCAAACUUUUCGGUUUUGUUGCCGUUUCUGGCUGGAUUUGUAUGUCACUCUUGCCAGGCAGAUCAAGUGUUUACUACGAGUCAUUGACAAAGUUGGAAGCAGAUCAUCGCAUGUUGAAGGAGAAAUUGGAAGAUUUACGUGUUAGCCUAACGAGCGCCAAAGAUCACAGAGAUGGACUCUGAUCGCAUUAUAUAUAUAUGGAGCAGUGAACUGUAAUAAAACUUGAAGCGCUAACUCCUAUAGUUCAUUGAACGGCAAAAAAUUGAAUAAUAAUAGUUCAUUGAAGCCAAAGAUUGAAGAAAAAACCGAGUUUUUGACUCUCUUUCUCGUUCAAAUUCUAUAAAAAUUAGCAAAUGAUUGUAUUUUAGACAUUUCUAGAUAAUUACUCUCCACACGUCUGUCUCAAACGUUCAAAAACGCAGAAAAACUACCUUCAAAUUUGGUUUGAAAGAUAGCGGCCAAGUUAGCGUUCCAGAUUUUAUUACAGUUCAGUGGUAUGGAGUCGUACCUAAAGAACUUUCUGUGCAUGUGUGUCUUGCUGAUUAUUAUUAUUACCAGCGAUGGAAUACCAUGCAGAUUAAAGGUGGGAUAUGAAUUGGUUUGAUAUAUUUUUCAGGCUUCACGCUUGUCAAAUUUUAAAUAGAAGCCAAUAAUUGUUGGGGUGAAAUUGCUAGGAGUAGGAGCCAAUGCGUUAUUCGUUGGACUGAUGAACUUUGAGCGAAUUUAAAAUCUUGACGAGAGUUGGGUUCUUUGAAACAGCGGCCAUGUUGGCGUGAUGAUGUUAUAUUAUGUCAAUAUGAGACGAAGCCCCAAACUCUCACGUUUGCUUCAUGAAAUAAUGUUAAUAAUGUUGAAUAAUCUUAUUAAUUUAAUGUAUUAUAAUAAGUUGAUGGUAUAUAUACUGUAAAAAGCACUUUUGGGCACAAUUUUGCGGUGAUUUCUGUGUAAUCUAGGCCUGCACACUUUACAUUCCAAAAGCUUAGAAAUUACCCCUGCAUGCCAGAGCAUUAUAUCAUGCUAGCAUUAGUCAAAGAAGUCAAAGGACUGCGCACAACCUGUUAAUGCAUAAGCAGCCCAGACUUUGGCUUGCGCGUGUGAUACUCGCGCGCGUGUCGCGCUUACGUUGUUUACUACGUCAAAAUAAGCGCGACACGCGUGGAGGACCAAAACCGCCAUGUUUCACACCAAUCAUGCAUGCUUAGCGCUAGCCCAUUUGGAUAUACAGAAAAGUACUAGAGAUAAGACUAGAACCUUACACAUGCAGGCAAGGUUUACACAGUCAAUCACGAAGCUUUUUUAUGAUACAUUGACAUUAUUAUGAUAUCCUAGCUGACAAAGUUUUGACAACAUCAAGAAGUCAAAAAUGACAAUCAGUAGCCUUCGAUCGAGAUUUCAUUUGCUUAUUGGCGUAACAGGCUUGUUGAUAUUCUGUUUGGGGGUUCUCAUAUUAGCAUCAGGAAUACGAAUAAGAUAUCUUCUAACAACAUUUGACAGAUUCGGGGAUUAUUGGAAGGCGUAUAACACUUGCCAAUAUUGGGCGGGAAUACCGACAAUUCUAACUGGAGGAGCAUUGGUUCUUUCUGUUCUCGUGAAUAGACAUCAGUCCUUGAAAUACAUCAGCUUAUGUUGUGCUGCGAUUACGAUGGUUCUAACACUAGGGAUCAUCAUCGAGGAAUCAGGACAUGUUUGGGACGUACAUUACCUUGUCCAAUACGAGAACAUCGCUGGAUAAUUACGAAGUGACACGACAUCAUGUUUCUGGAUAUCAAAGUCACGGGCUGAGUCAACUGUCGUCAAAUGAUCAAUAUCAUGCAAUAUCAAUGAAUACUUUUUAGUUUUUAAUGGAAGCUUUGAUGGGUCCAAACCACCAGCUUUAUCCAGUUGUAUGUAUAUAUAUAUAUAUAGAUAGAUAGAUAGAUAGAUAUAUGAGAAAAGCUUUUAUAUAUCUCAGUAAAUAUCUAUAUAUCAUAAUAGUUCGUUGAAGCUAAAGAUUGAAGCAAAAACUGAGUUUUUGACUCUCUUUCUCGUUUUAUAAAAAUUAGCAAAUUAAAUUUUAUAAAAAUUAGCAAAUGAUUGUAUUUUACAUAGUUAUAGACCUUUCUAGAUAAUUACUCUCUAUGCGUCUGUCUCAAACGUUCAAAAACUCAGAAAAACUACCUUCAAAUUUGGCUUGAAAGAUAGCGGCCAAGUUAGCGUUCCAGGUUUUAUUACAGUUCAGUGGCCGGAGUCGUAAGAACUUUCUGUGCAUGUGUAUCUUAGGGCCAGCUGAUUACUAUUAUUACCAGCGAUGAAAAACCAUGCAGAUUAAAGGUGGGAUAUGAAUUUGUUUGAUACAUUUUUUAGGCUUCACGCUUGUCAAAUUUUAAAUAGAAGCUAAUAAUUGUUGAGGGGGAACAGCUAGAAGCCAAUUAUGCGUUAUUCGUUGGACUGAUGAACUUUGAUCGAAUUUAAAAUCUUGACGAGAGUCUUGGGUUCUUUAAGGCGGCCAUGUUGGCGUGAUGAUGUUAUAUUAUGUCAAUAUGAGACGAAGCCCCAAACUCUCACGUUUGCUUCAAGAAAUAAUGUUAACAAUGUUGAUUAAUCUGAUUAAUUUAACGCAUUAUAAUAAGUUGAUGGUAUAUAUACUGUAAAAAGCACUUUUAAAAAAAGGCACAAUUUUGCGGUGAUUUCUGUGUAAUCUAGGCCUGCGCGCUUUACAUUCCAAAGCCUUAGAAAUUACCCCUGCAUGCCUGAGCAUUAUAUCAUGCUAGCACUAGCAUCGGUCAUGGAUAUUAUUAGUUAGUCAUUCAUGCAGGGACUGCGCAUAACCUGUUAAAGCAUAGGCAGCCAAAGUGAACUCAAAUAAGACUGGAACGCUCACUCUGUCGGAAGUUUGAAGCUAAGAUGGCGGACACUGAUGCCUUUCUUGUAAUUUUUCCUUUGAAAUUUCCGCGCCAGACGCCUGGAUCAUACCAACAAGAAAGGCUUCAUGAUCCGCCAUCUUGGCUUCACUCAUUAAUGAGGGAAAGUCAGAGAGUAAGCGUUCCAGUCAUAAUACAAGUUAUUUCAUCCUAAUAUUCAUUAUAUUCGUCCUAAUAUAUACAGGAAAGGUUGUUUUAGGAAAUUACCACUUAUUUUUUUCUUUAA